GUGCCAGUAAGGCUAGGGUUGUGGAUUUGAUCCCCUUGUACAACUCGUUUUCUUAUAAAUGUUAGUGAACUCAGAUGCUCGUGGUUUCUGCAUGGCUUUUAAGAUUGAAAGUUUUAACACUGUAAAAGCCAAACACAAAAGAAUAAAGAGUAUGGCAGUGAGGGUAAAGAGCAGAGUUGCUUUUCUUCAUUUCCUUUCUUUUCUCUUUUUUAAAUGAUGUUUAUGUCUGCUUGUAUUUGUGAAAUUGAGGUUUUUCGUCAAAUGUAUUUCUGUAUUUCUGUCUUAUCACAUUAGAUUCAUUUCCUGUGUUCUAAGGUUUUUGUCUCUGUCCUGUAGGUUUCCCCUUGUCUGUCUGGUGCAGUUAACUUUUCCAAGAUUGUGCAGAAUGUUCCCAGCUCUGGGAAAUCAGCUUGUUAUUGGGAAUUAGGGAACAGCUCCAUCAUGUCACUUUCUUGGACCAGGCUGUUGGCAAAACUGAGUGUCUUGCACAAGUCCCUUCUGAGGGCUGGAGAGUGGCUGUAAUACCGAGUUCCUGCCCUUCCCCUUGGCAGUGCGUCCGGGCUGCUGCAGCCUGGCACUGUGUUCACCACUGUCUCUGUUUCAGCAUGUAUUCCACUGAUGAGAACCUGAUCCUUUCCCCACUCCUGGGUAACGUCUGCUUCUCCAGCUCCCAGUACAGCAUCUGCUUCACGCUGGGCUCCUUUGCCAAGAUCUACGCCGACACCUUUGGUGACAUUAAUUACCAAGAAUUUGCUAAAAGACUCUGGGGUGACAUCUACUUCAACCCUAAGACGCGAAAGUUCACCAAAAAGGCCCCAACUAGCAGCUCCCAGAGAAGUUUCGUGGAGUUUAUCUUGGAGCCCCUUUAUAAGAUCCUCGCCCAGGUUGUAGGUGACGUGGACACCAGCCUCCCACGGACCCUAGACGAGCUUGGCAUCCACCUGACGAAGGAGGAGCUGAAGCUGAACAUCCGCCCCUUGCUCAGGCUGGUCUGCAAAAAGUUCUUUGGCGAGUUCACAGGCUUUGUGGACAUGUGUGUGCAGCAUAUCCCUUCUCCAAAGGUGGGCGCCAAGCCCAAGAUUGAGCACACCUACACCGGUGGUGUGGACUCCGACCUCGGCGAGGCUAUGAGUGACUGUGACCCUGAUGGCCCCCUGAUGUGCCACACUACUAAGAUGUACAGCACAGAUGAUGGAGUCCAGUUUCACGCCUUUGGCCGGGUGCUGAGUGGCACCAUUCAUGCUGGGCAGCCUGUGAAGGUACUGGGGGAGAACUACACCCUGGAGGAUGAGGAAGACUCCCAGAUAUGCACCGUGGGCCGCCUUUGGAUCUCUGUGGCCAGGUACCACAUCGAGGUGAACCGUGUUCCUGCUGGCAACUGGGUUCUGAUUGAAGGUGUUGAUCAACCAAUUGUGAAGACAGCAACCAUAACCGAACCCCGAGGCAAUGAGGAGGCUCAGAUUUUCCGACCCUUGAAGUUCAAUACCACAUCUGUUAUCAAGAUUGCUGUGGAGCCAGUCAACCCCUCAGAGCUGCCCAAGAUGCUUGAUGGCCUGCGCAAGGUCAACAAGAGCUAUCCAUCCCUCACCACCAAGGUGGAGGAGUCUGGCGAGCAUGUGAUCCUGGGCACCGGGGAGCUCUACCUGGACUGUGUGAUGCAUGAUUUGCGGAAGAUGUACUCAGAGAUAGACAUCAAGGUGGCUGACCCAGUUGUCACGUUUUGUGAGACGGUGGUGGAAACAUCCUCCCUCAAGUGUUUUGCUGAAACGCCUAAUAAGAAGAACAAGAUCACCAUGAUUGCUGAGCCUCUUGAGAAGGGCCUGGCAGAGGACAUAGAGAAUGAGGUGGUCCAGAUUACGUGGAACAGGAAGAAGCUGGGAGAGUUCUUCCAGACCAAGUACGAUUGGGAUCUGCUGGCUGCCCGUUCCAUCUGGGCUUUUGGCCCUGAUGCGACCGGCCCCAACAUUCUGGUGGAUGAUACUCUGCCCUCUGAGGUGGACAAGGCUCUUCUUGGUUCAGUGAAGGACAGCAUCGUUCAAGGUUUCCAGUGGGGAACCAGGGAGGGCCCCCUCUGUGAUGAAUGUAAGUCCACCAGCACUCCCCCACCCCAGUCCUCGAGGGUCCUUGCAGCCAGGCAUAUGAGUGGGAUGGGCUCACCAUCUUUAGGAUUCGGCAGGAGAAGCAGCUUGGGGUACACAGGACCAUCCCAAGUCCUGGGCCAGCUUCUUCCCUUUUCCUUCCUUAUCCUGGUGGUGUAGCCUGGAAAUGGAAAUUUAAGUCAUUUCUAAACUGUCAUUUGCUCCUCAUUUCUGAGAAGGGUUUGGCGUUGGACGUAUUUGAGAAGAGAUAUCAAGAGGAUGAUGAGAUUGGAAUGGUUUAUAGACCCUGAUUGGGCUUCAUGGACCAAAUGUACAAUUCUGGAAUUUAUUCUACAUCCACAAAAAUGUAAAUAUGUGCAGAAGAAGGAAAUAAACUUCUAGGAAAGCUCUAAGUCUGAGCAUGGCCUGAAGCAAACACUAAGAACAUAUGCUUAACUUCUGACCUCUGCCAUGGGCCUUGCUUACUCAGUUAGAACGCCCACCUCCCAUUUGAUUUCUGUACCAUGUCUUUCAUGACUGCAAGACAGCUGCAGUGUUGCAGGAGACUGCUACUCUGCCAUGGCCCCAUGACAGGCCCAGAACCUCUCCCCAGUCACUCCCUCCACCUCCUUUACAGUGAUUCGGAAUGUCAAGUUUAAGAUCCUGGAUGCGGUGGUUGCCCAGGAGCCCCUGCACCGGGGCGGGGGCCAGAUCAUCCCCACAGCCAGGAGAGUCGUCUACUCUGCCUUCCUCAUGGCUACUCCUCGUCUGAUGGAGCCUUACUACUUUGUAGAGGUCCAGGCCCCUGCAGAUUGCGUCUCUGCAGUUUAUACCGUCCUGGCCAGGCGCAGGGGGCACGUGACUCAGGAUGCACCCAUCCCAGGCUCCCCUCUGUACACCAUCAAAGCUUUUAUCCCGGCCAUCGACUCUUUUGGCUUUGAGACUGAUCUCCGGACUCACACCCAGGGACAAGCCUUUUCUCUGUCUGUCUUCCACCACUGGCAGAUUGUGCCUGGUGAUCCCCUGGACAAGAGCAUUGUCAUCCGCCCCUUGGAGCCACAGCCAGCUCCUCACCUGGCCCGGGAAUUCAUGAUCAAAACCCGCCGUAGGAAGGGCCUCAGUGAAGAUGUGAGCAUCAGCAAAUUCUUCGAUGAUCCUAUGUUGCUGGAACUUGCCAAACAGGAUGUUGUGCUCAAUUACCCCAUGUGAGUGCAUGGACUCCUGGGAGCUCCUGCUCCCUACAGUGGGCUGCAACUCCUGUACUUGAAGCUGAGACCUCGUAUGACGUGGCCUUCGUGUUGUCAGAGAGUGUCUGGAAGCUGCUGUUGCCAUCUUGAACAACUCACCAACCUCCAACCCAGAGCCCCAGUGAGAGAGGAGCAUUUGGCCUCCUGCUUCCUUCUGUGGCCUCUGCCGGGCUCCAUUCCCAAGGAAAAGAGAGGAGCUUGGGCUCACAGAAAGAGAAGGGGAUGAAACCCCAAGGGGCCCUAUCUUUGGGAUUUACAUGGAAUUUUAUUUUCUACAAGUUUGACCUUAGCCAUGGUUUGCAAGUGAACAGAACAUUCUG
rnacentral:sRNA from 1 species